AUUGAACGCUGGCGGAAUGCUUUACACAUGCAAGUCGAACGGCAGCACGGACUUCGAUCUGGUGGCGAGUGGCGAACGGGUGAGUAAUGUAUCGGAACGUGCCCAGUCGUGGGGGAUAACGUAGUGAAAAUUACGCUAAUACCGCAUACGAUCUAUGGAUGAAAGCGGGGGGUCGCAAGACCUCGCGCGAUUGGAGCGGCCGAUAUCAGAUUAGGUAGUUGGUGGGGUAAAGGACCACCAAGCCAACGAUCCGUAGCUGGUCUGAGAGGACGACCAGCCACACUGGAACUGAGACACGGUCCAGACGCCUACGGGAGGCAGCAGUGGGGAAUUUUGGACAAUGGGCGAAAGCCUGAUCCAGCCAUUCCGCGUGCAGGAUGAAGGCCCUCGGGUUGUAAACUGCUUUUGUACAGAACGAAAAGGUUUCUACUAAUACUAGGAGCUCAUGACGGUACUGUAAGAAUAAGCACCGGCUAACUACGUGCCAGCCGCCGCGGUAA
rnacentral:rRNA from 1 species